rnacentral:rRNA from 1 species
GAUGAACGCUAGCGGCAGGCCUAACACAUGCAAGUCGAGGGGCAGCAUAAAAAUUCAGCAAUGUUUUGGUGGCGACCGGCGGACGGGUGCGUAACGCGUAUGCAACCUACCUUUAACAGGGGGAUAACGGAGAGAAAUUUCCACUAAUACCCCAUAACAUCGAUCAAGGCAUCUUGAUUGGUUGAAAACUCCGGUGGUUAAAGAUGGGCAUGCGUUGUAUUAGGUAGUUGGUGAGGUAAUGGCUCACCAAGCCUACGAUACAUAGGGGGACUGAGAGGUUAGCCCCCCACACUGGUACUGAGACACGGACCAGACUCCUACGGGAGGCAGCAGUGAGGAAUAUUGGUCAAUGGGGGCAACCCUGAACCAGCCAUGCCGCGUGCAGGAAGACGGCUCUAUGAGUUGUAAACUGCUUUUAAACAGGGAUAAAGCACAGUAUGUAUACUGUGUUGAAGGUACUGUAAGAAUAAGGAUCGGCUAACUCCGUGCCAGCCGCCGCCGUAA